GACGUUGGUCUCGAGCGUUGCCCGGAUUUACUGGGCGUAAAGUGCGCGUAGCCGGUUCGGUACGUCGUCCGUGAAAGCCCGGGGCUCAACCCCGGGAGGCCGGGCGAGACUGCCGGGCUAGUGGACGGCAGAGGGGGGUGGAGCGGCCGGAGUAGCGGUGAAAUGCGUAGAUACCGGCCGAAAUCCCGAUGGCGAAGGCAACCCGCUGGGCCGUUCCUGACGCUGAGGCGCGAAAGCGUGGGGAGCGAACCGG
rnacentral:rRNA from 1 species